UACGUAGGGGGCAAGCGUUGUCCGGAUUUAUUGGGCGUAAAGAGCGUGUAGGCGGCCAUGUAGGUCCGUUGUGAAAACUCGAGGCUCAACCUCGAGACGCCGAUGGAAACCAUAUGGCUAGAGUCCGGAAGAGGAGAGUGGAAUUCCUGGUGUAGCGGUGAAAUGCGCAGAUAUCAGGAAGAACGCCCGUGGCUAAGGCGGCUCUCUAGUACGGUACUGACGCUGAGACGCGAAAGCGUGGGGAGCGAACAGG
rnacentral:rRNA from 1 species